UACGUAGGGUGCGAGCGUUAAUCGGAAUUACUGGGCGUAAAGCGUGCGCAGGCGGUUUUGUAAGCCAGAUGUGAAAUCCCCGGGCUCAACCUGGGAACUGCAUUUGUGACUGCAUAGCUAGAGUACGGUAGAGGGGGAUGGAAUUCCGCGUGUAGCAGUGAAAUGCGUAGAUAUGCGGAGGAACACCGAUGGCGAAGGCAAUCCCCUGGACCUGUACUGACGCUCAUGCACGAAGGCGUGGGGAGCAAACAGG
rnacentral:rRNA from 1 species